UGAAGCUUCGGCAGAUUUAGCUGGUUUCUAGUGGCGGACGGGUGAGUAACGCGUGGGUAACCUGCCCUAUACAGGGGGAUAACAACCAGAAAUGGUUGCUAAUACCGCAUAAGCGCACAGGACCGCAUGGUCUGGUGUGAAAAACUCCGGUGGUAUAGGAUGGACCCGCGUUGGAUUAGCCAGUUGGCAGGGUAACGGCCUACCAAAGCGACGAUCCAUAGCCGGCCUGAGAGGGUGAACGGCCACAUUGGGACUGAGACACGGCCCAGACUCCUACGGGAGGCAGCAGUGGGGAAUAUUGCACAAUGGGGGAAACCCUGAUGCAGCGACGCCGCGUGAAGGAAGAAGUAUCUCGGUAUGUAAACUUCUAUCAGCAGGGAAGAUAGUGACGGUACCUGACUAAGAAGCCCCGGCUAACUACGUGCCAGCAGCCGCGGUAAUACGUAGGGGGCAAGCGUUAUCCGGAUUUACUGGGUGUAAAGGGAGCGUAGACGGAUUAGCAAGUCUGAUGUGAAAGGCAGGGGCUCAACCUCUGGACUGCAUUGGAAACUGCCAGUCUUGAGUGCCGGAGAGGUAAGCGGAAUUCCUAGUGUAGCGGUGAAAUGCGUAGAUAUUAGGAGGAACACCAGUGGCGAAGGCGGCUUACUGG
rnacentral:rRNA from 1 species